rnacentral:ncRNA from 1 species
UAAAUUAAUUUUUUUUAUUUUAAUUUAUUAUUUAAUUUAAAUAUAAAUAAAAUUUUUUAAAAUGAUUAGAAAAUUUAAAUAAUUUUUUAGUUUAAUUAAAUUAAUAUUUAAAAUAAUUAUUUAAAUGAAAAUUUAUAAUAGAAAAUUAUAUUUAAAAUUAUUAAUAAAUAAAGUGCCAGCAAUUGCGGUUAUACUUUUAAUAAAAAUAAAUUUUUAUAAUUAAAAUAAAUUAUUGGGUUUAAAUUAAUAUAAAAUUUUAGAUUAAAAAAUAGUUUUUUAUGGUGAAAUAUGUAUAAUAAAUUAAAUUAAUUUAAAAUAUUUAUUUUAAAUUUAUUUAUAUAAAUUUUAUAUAAAAUUAGGAUUAGAUACCCUAUUAUUAUUAUGAUUAGUUUUAAUUGGAUUAAAUAUUAAAUGUAAAUCAUUAAAAAUAAAAAAUUUGGCGGUAUUUUAUUUAUAUUAGAGGAAUUUGUUAAUUAAUUUGAUAAUCCACGAAUGGAAAAACUUAAUUAUAUUAUCUUAUAUAUUGUUGUUGAUAAAUUAUAUUAUUAGAUCUUAAUUUUAAAAUCAUUAUAAAUAAUAAUUCAAAUCAAAAUGUAGAUUAAUUAAGAUAUUUAUAAAAUGAAUUACAGUUAAUUUUAUUAAUAGAAAUUAAAUUUUAAUAUUUAGUAAAAAAUGGAUUUAAAUGUAAAUUUAUAAAAAUUUAUAAAUUGAAUUUUUUUUAGAAUAUGUACAAAUUGCCCGUCAUUUUCAUUUUAAUUAUGAAAGAAGUCGUAACAAAGUAAGUAUACUGGAAAGUGUAGUUAGAAUUUU